rnacentral:piRNA from 1 species
UUGGCCAAGAUGGGUGAGUGUUCAU